rnacentral:rRNA from 1 species
AUACGGAGGAUCCGAGCGUUAUCCGGAUUUAUUGGGUUUAAAGGGUGCGUAGGCGGAGGAGUAAGUCAGGGGUGAAAUGCCGCAGCUCAACUGCGGAACUGCCUUUGAUACUGGGAGGCUUGAAUGCUGUUGCCGUGGGAGGAAUGAGUAGUGUAGCGGUGAAAUGCAUAGAUAUUACUCAGAACACCGAUUGCGAAGGCAUCUCACGAAGCAGUGAUUGACGCUGAGGCACGAAAGCGUGGGGAUCAAACAGGAUUAGAUACCCUGGUAGUCCACGCAGUAAACGAUGAUGACUAACCGCCGGCGAGAGACUGUCGGUGGCCAAGCGAAAGCGAUAAGUCAUCCACCUGGGGAGUACGACCGCAAGGCUGAAACUCAAAUGAAUUGGCGGGG